rnacentral:rRNA from 1 species
CAAUAGCGUAUAUUAAAGUUGUUGCAGUUAAAAAGCUCGUAGUUGGAUUUCUGUCUCGAACGUUCGGUCCGUCCCUAUGGGAUGUGUACUAGAAUGUUUGAUUCAUUUUUGCGGCGAUCCUUUACUGGCAUUAAGUUGUCGGUGAUGUGGUCUCGCAUCGUUUACUGUGAAAAAAUUAGAGUGUUUAAAGCAGGCGUUUGCAUUGAAUACAUUAGCAUGGAAUAAUAAGAUACGACUUUGGUGGUCUAUUUUGUUGGUUUGCACACCAGAGUAAUGAUUAAUAGGGACAGUUGGGGGUAUUCAUAUUUCAGCGUCAGAGGUGAAAUUCUUGGAUCGCUGAAAGAUGAGCUUAGGCGAAAGCAUUUACCAUGGAUGUUUUCAUUA